rnacentral:rRNA from 1 species
GAAUUUUAUAAAUGUUUUAUUAAGGUAGCUUAAUAUUAAUAUUUAUUUGGUUGGGGGGACAUUUAAAUUAAUAUAACUUUAAAUUAAUUAAUUACAUUAAUUAAUGGGGUGUUAAUUUUAUUAAUGAUUGAGAUUAUGUUUAUAGAAGAUUAAAUUACCUUAGGGAUAACAGCAUUAUAUUUUUGGAGAGUUCUUAUUGAUAAAAAUGUUUGU